rnacentral:rRNA from 1 species
CCUACGGGAGACAGCAGUGGGGAAUAUUGGGCAAUGGGCGCAAGCCUGACCCAGCAACGCCGCGUGAAGGAAGAAGGCUUUCGGGUUGUAAACUUCUUUUAUCAGGGACGGAGCAAGUGACGGUACCUGAUGAAUAAGCCACGGCUAACUACGUGCCAGCAGCCGCGGUAAUACGUAGGUGGCAAGCGUUAUCCGGAUUUACUGGGUGUAAAGGGCGUGUAGGCGGGAGUGCAAGUCAGAUGUGAAAACUAUGGGCUCAACCCAUAGCCUGCAUUUGAAACUGUACUUCUUGAGUGCUGGAGAGGCAAUCGGAAUUCCGUGUGUAGCGGUGAAAUGCGUAGAUAUCAGGAGGAACACCGGUGGCGAAGGCGGCCUGCUGGACUGCAACUGACGUUGAGGCCCGAAAGCGUGGGGAGCAAACAGGAUUAGAUACCCGUGUAGUC